UACAGAGGUCCCAAGCGUUGUUCGGAUUCAUUGGGCGUAAAGGGUGCGUAGGCGGCGCGGUAAGUCGGGUGUGAAAUCCCCGAGCUUAACUUGGGAAUUGCGCUCGAAACUACGGUGCUGGAGUGUGGCAGAGGGAGGUGGAAUUCCACGUGUAGCGGUGAAAUGCGUAGAGAUGUGGAGGAACACCGAUGGCGAAGGCAGCCUCCUGGGCCAACACUGACGCUCAUGCACGAAAGCGUGGGGAGCAAACAGG
rnacentral:rRNA from 1 species